rnacentral:rRNA from 1 species
AACACGUGAGUAACCUGCCCUUGACUUCGGGAUAACUCCGGGAAACCGGGGCUAAUACCGGAUAUGAGCCGCCCUCGCAUGGGGGUGGUUGGAAAGUUUUUCGGUCAGGGAUGGGCUCGCGGCCUAUCAGCUUGUUGGUGGGGUGAUGGCCUACCAAGGCGACGACGGGUAGCCGGCCUGAGAGGGCGACCGGCCACACUGGGACUGAGACACGGCCCAGACUCCUACGGGAGGCAGCAGUGGGGAAUAUUGCACAAUGGGCGAAAGCCUGAUGCAGCGACGCCGCGUGAGGGAUGAAGGCCUUCGGGUUGUAAACCUCUUUCAGCAGGGAAGAAGCGCAAGUGACGGUACCUGCAGAAGAAGCGCCGGCUAACUACGUGCCAGCAGCCGCGGUAAUACGUAGGGCGCAAGCGUUGUCCGGAAUUAUUGGGCGUAAAGAGCUCGUAGGCGGUUUGUCGCGUCUGGUGUGAAAACUCGAGGCUUAACCCUCGAGCUUGCAUCGGGUACGGGCAGACUAGAGUGCGGUAGGGGAGACUGGAAUUCCUGGUGUAGCGGUGGAAUGCGCAGAUAUCAGGAGGAACACCGAUGGCGAAAGGCAGGUCUCUGGGCCGCAACUGACGCUGAGGAGCGAAAGCAUGGGGAGCGAACAGGAUUAGAUACCCUGGUAGUCCAUGCCGUAAACGUUGGGCACUAGGUGUGGGGCUCAUUCCACGAGUUCCGUGCCGCAGCAAACGCAUUAAGUGCCCCGCCUGGGGAGUACGGCCGCAAGGCUAAAACUCAAAGGAAUUGACGGGGGCCCGCACAAGCGGCGGAGCAUGCGGAUUAAUUCGAUGCAACGCGAAGAACCUUACCAAGGCUUGACAUGCACGAGAAGCCACCAGAGAUGGUGGUCUCUUUGGACACUCGUGCACAGGUGGUGCAUGGUUGUCGUCAGCUCGUGUCGUGAGAUGUUGGGUUAAGUCCCGCAACGAGCGCAACCCUCGUCCCAUGUUGCCAGCGGGUUAUGCCGGGGACUCAUGGGAGACUGCCGGGGUCAACUCGGAGGAAGGUGGGGAUGACGUCAAAUCAUCAUGCCCCUUAUGUCUUGGGCUUCACGCAUGCUACAAUGGCCGGUACAAAGGGCUGCGAUACCGUAAGGUGGAGCGAAUCCCAAAAAGCCGGUCUCAGUUCGGAUUGGGGUCUGCAACUCGACCCCAUGAAGUCGGAGUCGCUAGUAAUCGCAGAUCAGCAACGCUGCGGUGAAUACGUUCCCGGGCCUUGUACACACCGCCCGUC